rnacentral:rRNA from 1 species
AGAGUUUGAUCCUGGCUCAGAACGAACGCUGGCGGCGUGCUUAAUACAUGCAAGUCGUGCGUGAAAGAGGGGCAACCCUCGAGUAAAGCGGCAAACGGGUGAGUAACACGUAAGCAAUCUACCUUCAAGCUUGGGAUAACCCUGCCAACGCGGGGCUAAUACCGGAUGUGGUCUUACGAUCGCAUGGUUGUAAGAUCAAAGGUGACCUCUACAUGUAAGUUACCGCUUGAAGAUGAGCUUGCGUCCCAUUAGCUAGUUGGCGGGGUAACGGCCCACCAAGGCUGUGAUGGGUAGCCGGCCUGAGAGGGUGAACGGCCACAUUGGGACUGAGAUACGGCCCAGACUCCUUCGGGAGGCAGCAGUAGGGAAUUUUGCGCAAUGGACGAAAGUCUGACGCAGCAACGCCGCGUGAGUGAUGAAGGUCUUCGGAUUGUAAAGCUCUGUUGAAUGGGAAGAAAAGUUUUGGAGAUAACACCUCCGGAGCUUGACGGUACCGUUCGAGGAAGCCCCGGCUAACUACGUGCCAGCAGCCGCGGUAAUACGUAGGGGGCGAGCGUUGUUCGGAAUUACUGGGCGUAAAGGGAGCGUAGGCGGAACCGUAAGUUAGAAGUUUAAUUCCCGGGCUUAACCCGGGGCGGGCUUUUAAUACUGCGGUUCUUGAGUAUGGAAGAGGGAGAUGGAAUUCCAGGUGUAGCGGUGGAAUGCGUAGAUAUCUGGAAGAACACCAGCAGCGAAGGCGGUCUCCUGGUCCGAUACUGACGCUGAGGCUCGAAAGUUAGGGGAGCAAACAGGAUUAGAUACCCUGGUAGUCCUAACCGUAAACUAUGGAUACUAGAUGUUGGGGGAGUCAAUCUUCUCAGCGUCGUCGCUAACGCAUUAAGUAUCCCGCCUGGGAAGUACGCCCGCAAGGGUGAAACUCAAAGGAAUUGACGGGGGCCCGCACAAGCGGUGGAGCAUGUGCUUUAAUUCGAUGCAACGCGAAGAACCUUACCUGGCCUUGACAUGCAAGUAGUAGAACCCUGAAAGGGGGACGAGGUAGCAAUACCAGCUUGCACAGGUGCUGCAUGGCUGUCGUCAGCUCGUGUCGUGAGAUGUUGGGUUAAGUCCCGCAACGAGCGCAACCCCUGUGUCCUGUUGCCACCCCUUAAUUGGGAGCACUCUGGACAGACUGCCUCGCUUCAACGAGGAGGAAGGUGGGGAUGACGUCAAGUCAGUAUGGCCCUUACGGCCAGGGCUGCACACGUACUACAAUGCCCGGCACAAAGGGAAGCGAGACCGUCAGGUGGAGCAAAUCCCAGAAAACCGGGCCCAGUUCAGAUUGUCGUCUGCAACUCGACGGCAUGAAGCUGGAAUCGCUAGUAAUGGCGCAUCAGCUACGGCGCCGUGAAUACGUUCCCAGGCCUUGUACACACCGCCCGUCACAUCAUGAAAGCCGGUUGUACCCGAAGUCGCUCUUUAAACAGUGCCGAAGA